rnacentral:rRNA from 1 species
UACAGAGGGUGCUAGCGUUGUUCGGAAUCAUUGGGCGUAAAGGGCGUGUAGGCGGUUUGUUAAGUCAUGUGUGAAAUCCCUCGGCUCAACCGGGGAACGACGCAUGAAACUGGCAAGCUAGAGUACCAAAGAGGGGGGUGGAAUUCCCGGUGUAGCGGUGAAAUGCGUAGAUAUCGGAAGGAACACCGGUGGCGAAAGCGGCGCGCUGGAUCCCUUCUGACGCUGAGGCGCGAAAGCCAGGGGAGCGAACGGG